AUUGAACGCUGGCGGCAUGCUUUACACAUGCAAGUCGGACGGCAGCACAGAGAAGCUUGCUUCUUGGGUGGCGAGUGGCGAACGGGUGAGUAACAUAUCGGAACGUACCGAGCAGUGGGGGAUAACUAAUCGAAAGAUUAGCUAAUACCGCAUAUUUUCUGAGGAAGAAAGCAGGGGACCAUUUGGCCUUGCGCUGUUUGAGCGGCCGAUAUCUGAUUAGCUAGUUGGUGGGGUAAAGGCCUACCAAGGCGACGAUCAGUAGCGGGUCUGAGAGGAUGAUCCGCCACACUGGGACUGAGACACGGCCCAGACUCCUACGGGAGGCAGCAGUGGGGAAUUUUGGACAAUGGGCGCAAGCCUGAUCCAGCCAUGCCGCGUGUCUGAAGAAGGCCUUCGGGUUGUAAAGGACUUUUGUCAGGGAAGAAAAGGAUAGGGUUAAUACCCCUGUCUGAUGACG
rnacentral:rRNA from 1 species